UGUGUUAUGGAUGUAGUACUAUGUUCAGGUAGUUAUGUUAUGGAUGUAGAUCUAUGUUCAGGUAGUUAUGUUAUGUAUGUUAUGGAUGUAGUACUAUGUUCAGGUAGUUGUGUUAUGGAUGUAGUACUAUGUUCUGUUAGUUGUGUUAUGGAUGUAGUACUAUGUUCAGGUAGUUAUGUUAUGGAUGUAGUUCUUUGUUCAGUUAGUUGUGUUAUGGAUGUAGUACUAUGUUCAGGUAGUUGUGUUAUGGAUGUUAUGGAUGUAGUUCUAUGUUCAGGUAGUUAUGUUAUGGAUGUUAUGGAUGUAGUACUAUGUUCAGGUAGUUAUGUUAUGGAUGUUAUGGAUGUAGUUCUAUGUUCAGUUAGUUGUGUUAUGGAUGUAGUACUAUGUUCUGUUAGUUGUGUUAUGGAUGUAGUACUAUGUUCAGGUAGUUAUGUUAUGGAUGUAGAUCUAUGUUCAGGUAGUUAUGUUAUGUAUGUUAUGGAUGUAGUACUAUGUUCAGGUAGUUGUGUUAUGGAUGUAGUACUAUGUUCUGUUAGUUGUGUUAUGGAUGUAGUACUAUGUUCAGGUAGUUAUGUUAUGGAUGUAGUUCUUUGUUCAGGGUAUGUUCUGUUAUUUAUUACUGUCAGAAUAUCACUGUUUCCCGGAAGCAACACAGUAACAGGACUAUCUUCAGGGUCCCUCCAUGAGUCAGAUCUGGCUUCAAUACUACUAGAUGUAAUUAAAAAUACUUUAUCUGGG